rnacentral:rRNA from 1 species
GAUGAACGCUGGCGGCGUGCCUAAUACAUGCAAGUCGAGCGAACAGACGAGGAGCUUGCUCCUCUGACGUUAGCGGCGGACGGGUGAGUAACACGUGGAUAACCUACCUAUAAGACUGGGAUAACUUCGGGAAACCGGAGCUAAUACCGGAUAAUAUAUUGAACCGCAUGGUUCAAUAGUGAGAGACGGCGUUGCGGUCACUUAUAGAGGGAUCCGCGCCGCAUUAGCUAGUUGGUAAGGUAACGGCUUACCAAGGCGACGAUGCGUAGCCGAACUGAGAGGGUGAUCGCCCACACUGGAGCUGAGACACGGUCCAGACUCCUACGGGAGGCAGCAGUAGGGAAUGUUACGCAAUGGGCGAGAGCCUGACGGAGCAACGCCGCGUGAGUGAUGACGGUCUUCGGAUCGUGAAACUCUGUUAUUAGGGAAGAACAAAUGUGUAAGUAACUAUGCACGUCUUGACGGUACCUAAUCAGAAAGCCACGGCUAACUACGUG